rnacentral:rRNA from 1 species
GGGUUGUGAGGUUAAGCGACUAAGCGUACACGGUGGAUGCCCUGGCAGUCAGAGGCGAUGAAGGACGUGCUAAUCUGCGAUAAGCGUCGGUGAGGUGAUAUGAACCGUUAUAACCGGCGAUUUCCGAAUGGGGAAACCCAGUGUGUUUCGACACACUAUCAUUAACUGAAUCCAUAGGUUAAUGAGGCGAACCGGGGGAACUGAAACAUCUAAGUACCCCGAGGAAAAGAAAUCAACCGAGAUUCCCCCAGUAGCGGCGAGCGAACGGGGAGGAGCCCAGAGCCUGAAUCAGUGUGUGUGUUAGUGGAAGCGUCUGGAAAGGCGCGCGAUACAGGGUGACAGCCCCGUACACAAAAAUGCACAUAUUGUGAGCUCGAUGAGUAGGGCGGGACACGUGGUAUCCUGUCUGAAUAUGGGGGGACCAUCCUCCAAGGCUAAAUACUCCUGACUGACCGAUAGUGAACCAGUACCGUGAGGGAAAGGCGAAAAGAACCCCGGCGAGGGGAGUGAAAAAGAACCUGAAACCGUGUACGUACAA